AUAUAGCCCCGUGGUAGAGCACUUGCCUAAAGUGCAUGAGGCCCUGGGUUUAAUCCCCAGUAU
rnacentral:tRNA from 1 species